GACGAACGCUGGCGGCGUGCCUAAUACAUGCAAGUCGAGCGAAGUUUUUCUGGUGCUUGCACUAGAAAAACUUAGCGGCGAACGGGUGAGUAACACGUAAAGAACCUGCCUCAUAGACUGGGACAACUAUUGAAACGAUAGCUAAUACCGGAUAACAGUAUUUCUCGCAUGAGAGAUAUUUAAAAGUUGGUUAUGCUAACACUAUGAGAUGGCUUUGCGGUGCAUUAGCUAGUUGGUGGGGUAAAGGCCCACCAAGGCGACGAUGCAUAGCCGACCUGAGAGGGUGAUCGGCCACACUGGGACUGAGACACAGCCCAGACUCCUACGGGAGGCAGCAGUAGGGAAUCUUCCGCAAUGGGCGAAAGCCUGACGGAGCAACGCCGCGUGAGUGAAGAAGGAUUUCGGUUCGUAAAGCUCUGUUGUUAGGGAAGAAUGGAUAUGUAGUAACUAUACAUGUAAGAGACGGUACCUAACCAGAAAGCCACGGCUAACUACGUG
rnacentral:rRNA from 1 species